CUCACUAGCAUGAUCUAUUCAUGUCUCCCAAAAUUAUUAUCCAAAUCUUUGGAGUUCAUAAUAAUCUAAGUCAUAAUAAGAUAUAGCUAAAAUGAUAAAUCAAUACCUCAUUUUAUUAUCAUUACAUGAGUUGAAAAAUUAUAAAGAAAAGUCCUAUCGCAACACUUGUGAUUGGCUUAUAAGGCACUCUUCUUUCACAGUACAACAAGACAAGACCAUCA
rnacentral:lncRNA from 1 species